GCGUAGCUCCAGUGGGAGGAAGUUCUCUUAACAUAGUUUUAAUCCUGUUUAGGCUGUCCCGUUAGUAACAGAUGGACAAGAACAACAACUUUGAGGUGUCUGUUGAGACCUGUACAGUAAAUUACUCAUGAAACCAAGGCCACAAAGUUGUACUGAAACUACUUUACUCACUGCCCAAAAUGAAGGAUUCAUAGAUCAGGCAAAACAAUGGCACUCAUUCUAGAGAGAAAUCUAUUUUUUAAAAAUCAAUCUAAUAUAUGUAAGUUUGAAAGUCCAGUUUCAAUACGAGCUGAAGCUGCAUGUUAAUGGUGAAAGUAACAUCCUUUUAAAUGCAAUUACCCACAUUUACCCUGGCAGUCUCUACCACGAGAAAAUAUUAAAAACUGACUCAAUACCUUUGAGGGUGUGAUACAAGCUUGAAAAUGUAAUUGAGAAGUAAGGCUUAUAGUCCUUCGUUAAUGCAUGCUAAUGUGACUUUGCUGCAUAAUGCCAUAUGAGGAAGGCUUUCACUAGUUUCUUUCAACUACUUUAAACAUCACCUUUGAAAAUGCGUUUGAAUUGGUUAUUCUCUCUGCUGCAUAAUAUCCAGUGAAGUCGGGUAUCUCAUGCACAGAUUGGUAUUUACUGGUUUUCAUAUAAGGCUGUUAGUACAUGGGGAAAAGUUGCUAGACAUGUGUUUAUAUUAAUAAAUAAUUCUUAAAUACCA